rnacentral:tRNA from 1 species
GUUAAUGCAGCAAAACCCGGCUAUGCAAAAGGCCUAAGCCCUUUUAAUUAGGGGUUCAAAUCCCCUCGUUAACU